ACCCCGGCCGCUGCGCUGGACAGGUUCGUGGCCAGAAGGCUGCAGCCGCGGAAGGAGUUCGUAGAGAAGGCGCGGCGCGCCCUGGGCGCCCUGGCCGCUGCCCUGAGGGAGCGCGGGGGCCGCCUCGGCGCUGCGGCCCCGCGGGUGCUGAAAACUGUCAAGGUCAGGCCGGCUCCGGCGUCAAACCCAAGCCACAAGUCUACUCUACCCUCCUCAACAGUGGCUGCCAAGGGGGCGAGCAUGCGGCCUGCUUCACAGAGCUGCGGAGGAACUUUGUGAACAUUCGCCCAGCCAAGUUGAAGAACCUAAUCUUGCUGGUGAAGCACUGGUACCACCAGGUGUGCCUACAGGGGUUGUGGAAGGAGACGCUGCCUCCGGUCUAUGCCCUGGAAUUGCUGACCAUCUUCGCCUGGGAGCAGGGCUGUAAGAAGGAUGCUUUCAGCCUAGCCGAAGGCCUCCGAACUGUCCUGGGCCUGAUCCAACAGCAUCAGCACCUGUGUGUUUUCUGGACUGUCAACUAUGGCUUCGAGGACCCUGCAGUUGGGCAGUUCUUGCAGCGGCAGCUUAAGAGACCC
rnacentral:sRNA from 1 species